GACGAACGCUGGCGGCGUGCUUAACACAUGCAAGUCGAACGGUGAAGCCCUUUCGGGGGUGGAUCAGUGGCGAACGGGUGAGUAACACGUGAGCAACCUGCCCCUAACUCUGGGAUAACUCCGGGAAACCGGAGCUAAUACCGGAUAUGACACGCGAGGGCAUCCUCUGUGCGUGGAAAGAUUUAUCGGUUGGGGAUGGG
rnacentral:rRNA from 1 species